rnacentral:rRNA from 1 species
GACGAACGCUGGCGGCGUGCCUAAUACAUGCAAGUCGAACGCAGUGGGGACGGGUGAGUAACACGUGGGUAACCUCCCAUCAGAGGGGAUAACACUUGGAAACAGGUGCUAAACCGAUACGGAUGGCUGAACCCGCGGUGCAUUAGCUAGUUGUGGAGGUAACGGCUCACCAAGGCCACGAUGCAUAGCAGACCGUGGAGGGUGAUCGGCCAAACGGGGACUGCGACACGGCCCAGACUCCUACGGUAGGCAGCAGUAGGAAAUCUUCGGCAAUGGAGGAAAGUCUGACCGAGCAACGCCGCGUGAGUGAAGAAGGUUGUCGGAUCGUAAAACUCUGUUGUUAGAGAAGCGGUAUCUAACCAGAAAGCCACGGCUAACUACGUGCCAGCAGCCGCGGUAAUAC